AGUAGGUGGGGUAACGGCUCACCUAGGCGACGAUCCCUAGCUGGUCUGAGAGGAUGACCAGCCACACUGGAACUGAGACACGGUCCAGACUCCUACGGGAGGCAGCAGUGGGGAAUAUUGCACAAUGGGCGCAAGCCUGAUGCAGCCAUGCCGCGUGUAUGAAGAAGGCCUUCGGGUUGUAAAGUACUUUCAGCGGGGAGGAAGGGAGUAAAGUUAAUACCUUUGCUCAUUGACGUUACCCGCAGAAGAAGCACCGGCUAACUCCGUGCCAGCAGCCGCGGUAAUACGGAGGGUGCAAGCGUUAAUCGGAAUUACUGGGCGUAAAGCGCACGCAGGCGGUUUGUUAAGUCAGAUGUGAGAUCUCCGGGCUCAACCUGGGAACUGCAUCUGAUACUGGCAAGCUUGAGUCUCGUAGAGGGGGGUAGAAUUCCAGGUGUAGCGGUGAAAUGCGUAGAGAUCUGGAGGAAUACCGGUGGCGAAGGCGGCCCCCUGGACGAAGACUGACGCUCAGGUGCGAAAGCGUGGGGAGCAAACAGGAUUAGAUACCCUGGUAGUCCACGCCGUAAACGAUGUCGACUUGGAGGUUGUGCCCUUGAGGCGUGGCUUCCGGAGCUAACGCGUUAAGCCGACCGCCUGGGGAGUACGGCCGCAAGGUUAAAACUCAAAUGAAUUGACGGGGGCCCGCACAAGCGGUGGAGCAUGUGGUUUAAUUCGAUGCAACGCGAAGAACCUUACCUGGUCUUGACAUCCACGGAAGUUUUCAGAGAUGGAUUGGUGCCUUCGGGAACCGUGAGACAGGUGCUGCAUGGCUGUCGUCAGCUCGUGUUGUGAAAUGUUGGGUUAAGUCCCGCAACGAGCGCAACCCUUAUCCUUUGUUGCCAGCGGUCCGGCCGGGAACUCAAAGGAGACUGCCAGUGAUAAACUGGAGGAAGGUGGGGAUGACGUCAA
rnacentral:rRNA from 1 species